CCACCACUGCACAUCACAUUGGGCCUUAUGAAACCAUUUGUCAGAGCUGUAGAUAAGGAGUCGGCAGCCUUCAAGUAGCUUCAAGACUUCUUCCCUAAGCUGUCUGAGGCAAAGGUCAAAGCCGGUGUCUUCGUCGCACCACAGAUAAAGAAGAUCCUGGAGUGCAAUAAAUUCCCCAAGAAGCUCACUAUUAAGGAUAAAGCGGCUUGGGGACAGCUUUGUCGCAGUGGUUCGUGGCUUCCUGGGCAAUCACAAGGUCAAAAACUAUGUGGAGCUGGUUAAGACCCUGGUGAAGAACUACGGCACAAUGAGCUGUAGGAUGUCCCUCAUAGUCCAUAUCAUUGAUGCUCAUCUUGAUAAAUUCAAGGAAAACAUGGGAGCGUACUCGGAGGAGCAAGGCGAGCGCUUCUAUCAGGAUAUACUGGACUUUGAACGCCGCUGCCAAGGACAGUAUAACGAGAACAUGAUGGGAGACUACAUUAAGAGGCUGAUUCGUGAAAGUUAUUUACAGUAGAGUCGUAAAUCUGGAAAAACUACUCACUUCUAAAUCUUUUGUAGUAAUUUUUGUAUUACUUUAGUAUAAAUACAUGUUAGUUUUGAUUGAUGUUUUAUAUCACUGUCCUGGUCACAAAAGCAACGUUUUUGGGGAAUAAUAGCAAUUUUCUAUACUUUUUAAGCAUAAGCAAUUACGAAAUAACACUUACUAGCCAGGACCAAAAAUCGUGUUACAUCGUGUUAUUAAUUAAUCAAGGUAAUUACAUUCUUCGUAGCUAAUUAGCAACGCUCACUCUGCGGCACGAACCGCAAGCGCGCUCGCCUGUUAAGGACUUUCCCUCCUCGGUAAACAAUGUGUCCCACGCUGCACAUCACUCGCAGACAAAUAAACCCAAGUGAGCGGAAAAGUGAAAAUCUUAGAUGCAGUGGGCGUGUGGGGGGGGGGGGGUCCCCUUGUGACAGACGCAGCCGUUGAAGGGCCAGACGCUGGAGAGUGGUGAUGAGGUGUUUUUUGUUUCUGAGACAAGACAAAGCCCAUCGAACCACCUUGUAAGAAGGAUGGCAGAACACCCGAGGAUGUCUCGUACGGGGAGCUGGCAUCAGGCACACGGGCCACUGGUCGCCCGGUCCUGCGCUUCAAAGAUGUCUGUAAACGGGACAUGAAGAGCUGCGACAUCAACCCAAAUGACUGGGAAAAACUGCCGGCGACCGACUCAGCUUGUAGCAGGCUGUGAAAACAGGCCUCAGGAGAGGCGAGGAGAAAAGACGCACCGCUUGGUAGACCAAGAGGGAGCGACGUAAAGAACAAGCGACACACACCUCUGGAGCUGCCACCGCAUUCACCUGCAAUUGCUGUGGCAAGGAUUGCCACUCACGGAUUGGCCUACUAAGUCAUUCUAGGCGCUGCAAAACCUACAGCUGACCUCGUACGGCGCAAAAGAAUUGUCUCUCGAGACACAAAGGACUAUGAUGAUGAUGAGAGAGGUCACCAGACCCGUACGUCGGAUCGGCGAACGCGUUUGCCGGCUUGUGGAUCAGAGGUCGCAAACGGGUUUUGAUUCCUUACCCGUACCCGUACCCGGCCGCACCAGAGUCGCAAACGGGUACCCGUACCCUACCCGAUACCUGGCUACCCGUACCCGGCCGGGUUUCGGGUAGGGUACGGGAAUCGGGUAGGGUACGGGUAGGGUACGGGUAUCGGGUACCCGAUUGCGACCUCUGUUAUGGAUACACACGUGAACUUUCCCUUGAGGCCAUUGACUCACAUCAGCCCGUUACCUUCGACGGCGUCGCUCGCGACAAUACACUGUGUCACCAUCUCGGCAAACCGCGAGGUUUGGUGGCGGAGGAUGUAUUUUUUUCUGGUUGUUCCUAGGGGGAACGUCUCGAUGCGCUUCGUCUUCUCGGGAUGAAGACAAAAGGAAUCCCUUUGCAAAGUGCGCGCAGAGUAGGACGACAGCGAAAGGCAGUCAGCUGUUGGAGACGUCACGGAGACGCGUGCGCCUAAAGUGACGCCGCCGACGUUUCAUUUCACGGGCCGCUUCGAUCUCGCACCGCGGACAGCGCUCCAUCACCGCAAGAUGGGCACGAAAUUCUCCGUGAACUCGACAGCGGAUUCCCCCCCCACCCCCAACACCUCCACCAACCGCAUGCGCGAAGGAGUUCUAAAAAAGGUAAAAAGUUC